GGCCGGGAGGAUGGUGGCGCAUGCGCGCUGCCCUAGCGGUCCCGGGGGUGCUCGUCCCGUCCGGGUCGCCGUCGGUGUGGGGGGGCGGCGGUAGCGGCGCGGGGGGCUCCGGUCGCCCCGGUCUCGUCCUGCCUUUCCGCGGCCACUUCGCUUGGCUCGGCGGCGCCGGGACCCCACCGUCGCCUUCAGCUCCUCGCCGCUCCGCUCGCGGGGGGGCUCCGCCAUGGCAAUGACAGGCCCAACACCAUGCUCGUCCAUGAGUAAUCACACCAAGGAGCGAGUUACGAUGACAAAGGUGACAUUAGAAAACUUCUACAGCAAUCUCAUCGCGCAGCACGAGGAACGAGAGAUGAGACAAAAGAAGCUAGAACAAAUGAUGGAAGAAGAAGGCUUAAAAGACGAAGAGAAAAGAAUCCGGAGGUCAGCACAUGCACAGAAGGAGACGGAGUUUCUUCGCCUAAAGAGAACAAGGCUUGGUUUGGAAGACUUUGAGUCUUUAAAAGUAAUAGGCAGAGGAGCAUUUGGAGAGGUGCGGCUUGUCCAGAAGAAAGAUACGGGGCAUGUUUAUGCAAUGAAAAUACUACGUAAAGCUGAUAUGCUUGAAAAAGAGCAGGUUGGCCAUAUUCGAGCGGAGCGGGACAUUCUAGUGGAGGCAGACAGUUUGUGGGUUGUGAAAAUGUUCUAUAGUUUUCAGGACAAGCUAAACCUUUACCUUAUCAUGGAGUUCCUGCCUGGAGGUGAUAUGAUGACGCUGUUGAUGAAAAAAGACACUCUAACAGAAGAAGAGACACAGUUCUACAUAGCUGAGACCGUGCUAGCCAUUGAUUCUAUUCAUCAGCUGGGUUUUAUCCAUAGAGACAUAAAACCAGACAACCUUCUUCUGGAUAGCAAGGGCCACGUAAAGCUCUCAGAUUUUGGUCUGUGUACUGGACUAAAGAAAGCCCACAGAACAGAAUUUUAUAGAAACUUGAACCAUAGUCUUCCUAGUGACUUCACUUUCCAGAACAUGAAUUCCAAAAGGAAAGCAGAGACUUGGAAGAGAAACAGACGGCAGUUGGCUUUUUCUACUGUGGGCACUCCGGAUUACAUUGCCCCUGAAGUUUUCAUGCAGACCGGCUACAACAAACUUUGUGACUGGUGGUCACUUGGAGUCAUCAUGUACGAGAUGUUGAUUGGUUAUCCACCGUUCUGUUCUGAGACUCCUCAAGAAACAUACAAGAAAGUAAUGAAUUGGAAAGAGACUCUCACAUUUCCUCCAGAAGUUCCAAUAUCUGAUAAAGCAAAGGAUCUUAUUUUAAGAUUUUGCUGUGAAUGGGAGCACAGAAUUGGUGCGUCUGGUGUGGAGGAAAUAAAAAGUAACCCGUUCUUUGAAGGGGUUGAUUGGGAGCAUAUCAGGGAGAGACCUGCUGCAAUUUCAAUAGAAAUUAAAAGCAUUGAUGAUACCUCAAACUUUGAUGAAUUUCCAGAAUCUGAUAUCCUUAAGCCAACAGUGGCAACAAGCAACCAUCCAGAGACUGACUACAAGAACAAAGACUGGGUUUUCAUCAAUUACACCUACAAGCGUUUUGAAGGUCUGACAGCCCGAGGAGCAAUACCAUCCUAUAUGAAAGCAGGAAAGUAAUAAAUCUUUAUCUGGGACAACUUCUGAGCCGUGGAAUUCUGUUCCUGUACUUUGGGUUUAUACCCAUAAAAGAACUUUAUCUUUUUUUAAAGAAAACUUGAGGGCUAUUGACUCUUGGAGAAGACUUCAGGACCCUGUUUUGUUACACACCCUGGUUGUUACUAAGGACUUAUUUCUUCCUGCGCCAUUGAAAAAUUCCACAAAAUGUUUGCAUCGUCUCUGCUGCAAGCACGUUCUGCUGCUUCAGGAGCAAGAGUUUGUUUUAUUUUUAAAUUCUUUGCCAGAUUGUACAGCCCAUCAGGAGAUGAGAGCAAGCCUUCACUCUGACGUUGCAAAGCACGUGACGUUUAUAUGGACUCUGUUGCUGGUCGUACAUUAAGUGACAAACUCAAUCUGCCAAUUCUGCCAGCACUGUUUUCCCAGUGGCUAAGGACUUCAGUACAGAGGAAACAAAGCAAUAAUUAAAGCUUGAGAUAGACAACCCUCUAGUAAACUAUGUAGUAGAAGGACACAACUUGUAUUGCCUUAACCUUAGUUUGUAACGCUGGUUUUUAUAAUGCUACUUGGAAGCCUCUUUUCAUAGCAUUUCUCAGCUCUGUCGCAGUGGCCUCCAGUUGCGGUGCACUUUACUUUUGGUACUAAGACAGCGACCCUCAAGCCAUUUAGUAUUUUUUCUAAAUUAAAAAAUUGUGCAACACCUUUUCUAGACAGUCAUAGGAGAAACAGGCCACCUCCUCCAGCGCCAACAGUUUUCAGUGACUGUAUGAAAGGAUCUAUAAAUGAUGCGGAUAAUAAAAACUAAGGCUGGGUAACACAGGUGGAUCUGGAAUUAGAGAAGAGGGGGAGGGAAGUUCAUUUAACCUGAUCAUUGGUGGGCAUCUUGUGUACAGUCGGGUCAGCUGAGGCUUCCCUUUUCCUGCUGCUGCCAUCUUUUGGCCACUUCAAAGAUCUGCUGCAUGUUCAUCUGUUUAAAGACGCAACCCUCUCUUGUGACCUCUUUGCUCUCGGUUUUGAGUAGAACAGUAUCAGAUUCUUCCAUGGAUCUUGAUGACAGAGGCCUCCCUGGCUUUUUCGUACAGAAUUCCUCGAGCUGUCCUGGCUGAACCGUCUGUCCCUCCAGUCCUCCAAGGAGAUGGUGCCUCAUGAGGUCACUUUUGGGGCAGUGGAACCCAUCAUGUCCACUCUUUGAUUAUUGCCUAAUAUAACUUAUAAAAAGUACAUUCAGGUAAGAUCAGGAUGCUCUCCAGGAGAUCCCCACAGUGCCUUUCCUUGCCUAAGCAUCUCUCAGACAUGACUGCGUUUUGGAAGGGAGGACUGAACCUCAGCUGAGCUUUUGGUAAUUCCUUUUCAUAAUCAUGAGCUCCACUUUGUACCUGUUUUGUAGUUAACCCCGCACUUCCAAGGGCAGGUGGCAUUAACCUUUGGGUCAGCCUGGUACCAGUCUUUAUUUUGCAAUUUAAUUUCUUGCAAAGUUCUUGCAAACCUUUAUUGGUGCUGAACACUAACUACAUAGCACAGACAAAAAAAAAGAGCUGUUUAGAAACAAAGCUAGAGCAGCUUGCUCUAGCAAAUGAAGUAAAAUGAAGGCUUUCAGUUAUAUUUAGUCCUAACUUUCCAGAUUAGGAAAUGAAAGAAAAUGAGUUUGUAGUGGAACUUUUUUUUAACAGGUGCUUUUAGGGAAUUUUUACCUAGAUGUCUCUUGAUCCGAGUGCCAUCAUGAAGGACUGAUUGGGGCCUUGAAAGUACUGUAUAUAGCUAAAACUGGGUGGUGACUCGCUAUCGCCCUCUCCGUAACCACCCCUUGUGCUUUUUGUAUGUGUCCUAGGAGUUUAAUGAAUUGCCAUAAGCAGUUUAGAUACCCGUUGGAUCCUACAGAGCUGAAAUGAAAAAAAUAGCCUUAAUUAGAAGUACCAGGAUCACUGUAGUCAGUAGGGCUUACUCAGAUGAAUAAGGGCUAACUGAAGUAAUGCUUUAUAGGGUCAGGCUUUUUAUCAACUAGUCGGUAAUAUCACCUUCUGCUCACUUUUUUUUUAUGAAGGACUGAUACCAACUUCUCAGAUUGCUCUAUCUCCUUAUCCUGCAGUUUCUUCUAGCCAUUUGAAGAUGUUGCCUUAUAAACCAUUGGAAAACUAAGAGACUUGAAAUUGAUCUUAGAAUCAACUGCUUGGGUAUGAGAAUGUGAUGGUAACUCAGGGGCUGAAGACUGCACUUCUAAAAGAUGCAAGCAGAUGGGAAGAAAGGAGCACCCUAUUAAAGGUGAAAGGCAGCGCUCAUCUCCAGAAGAAUUAAACCUGUCUGGCAGAGUGUGCCUGGCUUCUGGGCAAGGGUCUUACUUGUGCCCAGGUGUCUGCCUUGUGUAAAUGUCACUUCAGUUUACCAACUUAAGGGCAAGCUAUUUUUAAUCUUUAUCCCUUUUAAAUAUAGAAAGAGGAAAUAAGUAGUGAGCAAGUGGCACUGGAGGCAAAGCUACAACCCUUCAUUUUUUUUGACUGGUUUGUAACAUGCCAAAAUGAACCUGCAGUUCUUAUUCCAUGGCUUCACAUUUGUGACAGCCCCGCUCGUGAGUGCGAGUUCCUGUUCCCACUUCAGCAAUUCCACUAAAUGCCACCUUGUUCAAACUCUAACGCCUUUCUCGAGCUUCAUUAAGAAAACCCUUGAGAUACAUCCAAUACUGAAGAUGGAAAUAAAAGUCAGUGUGUUCUUCUGAAGACAGAAGUAGGUGGAAGCGGAGCGUAUCUUUCACAGCACACUAACCGAAAAUAGCACUGGGGCCUGUGAGAGCUGCCGCAUAGUUUGUGGGUUAAGUAGUGUUGUCUCAUACCUGUGUUAUGUGCUGCUUUUAGAACAUCGCUGCAGUGAGUUGGUAAACUUUGAGGCCCUCUCAGCACGCGUGGUAAUCGCACUUCUGUGCAGCUGCUGCACAAGGUUCCUGCCAAAACAACCAGGCUCUGCCUGAUGCAAAACUAGUACUAAGACUGGGGUCACAAGCCACAUUUGCUUUAUAAAGCAAGGAAACAAAACCUAGCGAUCUAUCCCCUGCCCAAUUGUCUAUUCCCCAUUUAAAACAGUUUUUAGAAGACCCAAACAAGCCGUGUAUAAUUUAUACUUUAAUACAGAAAGGAAACCGUACAGCUGUAGUUAAUACACACCACAGGUAACACUUCAGUAUAUCUAGAACAAGACAAGACUUGACCUUGUACCUGAAUAGUAGGUGACCAAGAGAGGAAGAAAAGCAAAUGCAUGCUUUUUCAAUUUGAACUCACUCUACUGAAAAAAAAAUAUCCAAAAUUCCUCUUUAAUUACCUGGGAAAGCCAGACACGUAACAGUGGCUUUUUGGAAUGAAAAAACUGCAUGGAGAUCACAGAAGCUGGCUACCUCCAUCCCAAAUUGAUUACACGGAGUACCAACCGGUUCCUAUGAGGCACGGUCUUUAACCCUCAGGCAAGAGCCUGGGGCCACUGUUUCUAAUAAAAUGGCUGAAUCCUUCAAGCGGCGUAGGUGACACUUGGCUCAGUUUGUUUUGGCUGAAUACGGUACUUAGCUGUCAGAUCCCAUACGGUGCCGUCGAUGUCGGCUGCUCAGCCUCCGAUGCCUUGACAUGGUCCUGUAGGGUAGCGCUCAAGAACACGCACGUUCAAGUCCUUAGAGCAGAACAUGUGUAAACUCCAAUUCCAAGUCAGCUGGUCAAAACCAAUAUAUAUUUACUUAAAACUGUAAAAAUAAAUACACAGAAAAAAAAAAAAAA